GAUCAUGGCUCAGGAUGAACGCUAGCUACAGGCUUAACACAUGCAAGUCGGAGGGGAAACGACAUCGAAAGCUUGCUUUUGAUGGGCGUCGACCGGCGCACGGGUGAGUAACGCGUAUCCAACCUGCCCAUCACUUGGGAAGUAACCUUGCGAAAGUAAGACUAAUGCCCAAUGAUAUCCCACGAAGGCAUCCGAAUGGGAUUAAAGAUUUAUCGGUGAUGGAGUGGGGAUGCGU
rnacentral:rRNA from 1 species